UACGUAGGGUGCGAGCGUUAACGGAAUUACUGGGCGUAAAGCGUGCGCAGGCGGUUCGUUAAGUUCGUUGUGAAAGCCCCGGGCUCAACCUGGGAACUGCAAUGGAAACUGGCGGGCUUGAGUGUGGCAGAGGGGGUGGAAUUCCGCGUGUAGCAGUGAAAUGCGUAGAGAUGCGGAGGAACACCGAUGGCGAAGGCAGCCCCCUGGGCCAACACUGACGCUCAGGCACGAAAGCGUGGGGAGCAACAGG
rnacentral:rRNA from 1 species